UUGCAUACAACAUGUUCAUACUCUUGGCCUUAAUUAGCUAGCUGUGGAGCCAAAAAUGUUCACUAGGCGACACGUGGACUUUUGGACAAAAGAGGACAAAAAUACCCUCGAGGCAUACCGGGAUUCCUACGCGCAAUCAGUAGGAAAUUAUCUUUCAACCAAGUUAAAAGUGCUCAAAAUAGGUAACGAUUUAAAGCCUAUUUCAUCAAAUCCUUUCUAUAAGGUAAUUCCCAAAACUUAAUUUAUUUUAUAUGUUUUAUAUUCCAUUAUUUAGCUAAUCAAUUAGCUAAAUAAUAUAAUCCUUUCAUGUUUCCUAAAAAAUUGAUUAAUUAAGGGAUUAAUUACCCAAUCAAUCCCUUAAUUAUCAAUUUGAAACAUCCACUCAAACCUAAAAAAUACUAUAGGGCCGGCUAUCCCAUUCAAAACCUAAUCCAUUACCUUUUUUCUACUUUUUCCCAUCAUUUCUUCCCUUUUAUUAGCCAAUCAAUACCAUAAAUACUAAAAUAUUUCCUUUCAUAUUUAAUUAGCCAAUUAAUUGGCUAAUUAAACCUAAAAUUCCCACCUAGUAGCCGGCCACAUUUCCUCCCUUUUGCUCCUUACCUUUUUGACUUUCUCCAUCUUAUUACCCAAAUAAAGCUAAUCAUUCAAUUUGAUAACCCCCCAUUUAUUUCUAUCAUAUUUUAUUAGCCAAUAAAGUGGCUAAUUAAACCACAAAUUCACUAAAAGCAUGGACAAAGUGGCCGGCCAUUUCUUUGGAAAAAUGGACCAACUUAGUCUUAUAAAUAUUCACCCAUUUCUACCAAACACUAAUUCCAACACUUUGGCAAAAAUCCCAAAAUUCUCUAAACACUCUUUCUCUCUAAAUUCUAACUUUGGCAUCGGAGGUUCUUCGGCCAAAGCCCCCCCCCCAUUCAUCGUGGGCGCGUGAGGCUAUUGGCCUUAACCUAAGGUGUUAAUUGUUUUGUAGGUGCAAAAUUGUCCAAGAUCAAGGAGGAAGAAAUUUGCAUCCACAAAUUGGUGCUUUCAUUGAGAGUUGAAAUCCAUACUCGUAGAAGACUCUCGCACAAAAAGGUUUUUUCUUUAUUUUCUAGUCCAUUUGAAUAUUUUUCAUACGUUCUUAUUAUUAGAAUUUUUUUACUUGCAAAGGUUAUUUGAUAAAACGUAUAAGCAAAAUAUAAUGGCUAGAAAUUUAGAAAAUUUCAUAAGUGAAAAUUCUAAUAUACAAGAAAUGGGAUUGCGGAGAUCCGUGAGGCAAAAUACGACAAUAAUGGGAGCGGCAUCACCACCAUGAGUUUCCACCAUGGGAACCACCGUGGUGGCUACCUCGGUAGCCACCCGCGGCGAGGUCCAUGGUGCCUUCACCACGGCCACCAUGGGAACCACCGCGGUGGCUACUUCGGUAGCCACUCGUGGCGAGGUCCAUGGAGCCUUCACCACGGCCACCAUGGGAACCACCGCGGUGGCUACUUCGGUAGCCACUCGUGGCGAGGUCCAUGGAGCCUUCACCACGGCUCGGAGAUCCAUGAGGCAAAAUGCGACAAUAAGGGGAGCGGCAUCAUCACCACAAGCUUCUACCAUGGGAACCACCGUGGUGGCUACCUCGGUAGCCACCCGCAGCGAGGUCCAUGGUCCAUUCACCACGGCCACCAUGGGAACCACCGCGGUGGCUACUUCGGUAGCCACUCGUGGCGAGGUCCAUGGAGCCUUCACCACGGCCCGAGCCGUGCCAUCCAAGGCUCACGGUACCAAGACCACGAUCCAAGCCGUGCCAUCCAAGUUUACGUGGACCCAAGCCCAAGCCUCGCAUUCACAUGCACCGCGCAUCGAGCAGCCCACUCCCGUGGCCCAGCCUGCUUUCGUCGAGCAGCCCACUCCGGUGGCCCAGCCUGCUCCUGCCAAGCAGCCUGCUCUCGUGACCCAACCUGCUCCUGACGAGCAACCCACUCCCGUAGCCCAGCCUGCUCCUGCCAAGCAGCCUGCUCUCGUGACCCAGCCUGCUCCCAACGAGCAGCCCACUCCCGUGGUCCAGCCUGCUUCCGUCAAGCAGCCCACUCCCGUGGCCCAACCUGCUCCUGCCAAGCAGCCUGCUCUCGUGACCCAGCCUGCUCCCGACGAGCAGUCCACUCCCGUGGUCCAGCCUGCUUCCGUCGAGCAGCCCAAUCCUGCCAAGCAGCCUGCUCUCGUGACCCAGCCUGCUCCCGACGAGCAGCUCACUCCCGUGGUCCAGCCUGCUUCCGUCGAGCAACCCACUCUCACGGCCCAACCUGCUCCUGCCGAGCAGCCUGCUCUCGUGACCCAGCCUGCUCCCGACGAGCAGCCCACUCUCACGGCCCAUCCUGCUCCAGUGGUUUUCCAAGCAGCCCAAGUCGACCCAAGACUAUCUCAACCAUCCGGACCUACCAUCGAGCUAGGGGCAUUCUCACCACAUUUUUUCGCGGAUUUGACAUUUCCCAAUUCAAAUCUCGCGCCCGAAGUCUACCACAUUUCCACUGCCCAAGGAGGCGCAUUCCUUCCAAUCCAAAUGGCGAACAACACUUGUCUCGACAAGUCAUAGAGUUGACGAACGCCCUUGCACAACAGACAACUUUGGUGAAUCAACUUUUGCAACGCAUCGGGAUCCAACGUGCCUCGGACGAGGUAUCCCGAAGUAGGACAAGGGCAGACGAACCUUUCCAGCAGCGUCCCGGUAAGCAGCCAUUCGACCAGCCACGAGCCGAACGUUCAGGCAGUGUACAUUCCCAAUUGGGCCCCCGAGAUAGUGUAUACUCCCGUCUUAGCGCGCGGAGGAGCGUGUACUCUCGACUAGGCCCACGGAUGAGCAUACAUUCACGGUUGGGGUCACACUCUGAUAGUCAACAUGAACAACCUUCCGGACAAAGUGUUCAUUCGCGGCUAAGCCCAUAAGGAGCAUCAUCCACCUCACAUCAGAGUAGGCAGCACGACGGACGGAGAGAAGUAGUCACUCAAUCCAGCUCAAGUUCAACCAACAGCCUGCGAAGAACUCGCUCGCCUGCUAGGAACGCACCACAUGCACUGCAUCUGCGGCAUAGACGAGCCAAACACAUGGAAGAGCAGCCUAGACCAGCAAGUCAUAGCUGGGGGCAGCCGAGAGCUUCGCUACCCCAACAAAGGCAAAUUCAGGAAGAAGUAGAGAGACUCUUGACCAAGCGAUUGCGUGAUUUCCAACGCAACGAGGUCACCGACGAGGCACUACGACGGAACAUGACCAACAUAAGCAGGUCACCCUUCACGGAUGAGAUCGAGCAGGUAGAGCCUCCACGAGAGUUCAGCAUGCCACAUUUCACAUCUUUCAAAGGGGAUGAAGACCUGGAGAGACACUUAAAGUACUACCGAAGCGCAAUGAUCCUUUAUCGAAACAACGAUGAGCUCAUGUGCAAGAUAUUCGCCACCACUCUACAAGGCGAGGCGCAAGAUUGGUUCUACACCCUGCCGCCACAAUCCAUCCGGAAUUUCUACGAACUUUCUUUGGUUUUCACCAAAGAAUAUUCAUCCUAUCGCUCGAUAAAAAAGAAGUCUGAUCAUUUGUUCAACGUCAAGAAGAACCCAAAGGAGUCACUUCGCGACUAUGUGAGGAGGUUCAAAGUAGAGAAGGCAAAAAUAGUCGGAUGCAACUACUCGAUAGCUAGAGCAGCCUUCCAAAAAGGACUUCCAGCAGACCACCCGCUAUUCGGAAAAUUGAUCAUGAAAGAAGAUCUAACUCUGGCAGACUCUUUUUCUUUGGCAGAGAAGUAUGCACUUUGGGAUGAGGCUCGCCAAUGCACAUUCAAGGACUUGAAGAAGUACCCGACAUCACCUCCCUAGAAGCAGGGAGGACUUAUUCACAUGUUUGACGGUAUCUAAAGUAGCAAUAAGCUCUACCAUCAUGCGAGAAGAGGGGGGCCCGACUACCUGUAUUCUACAGUUCAAAAGCUCUCCUCGAUGUUAUUAAAAAUUCAAAAGCUAACUUUGGCGAUAGUUAUUGCAACCUAGAAGCACAAGUUUUACUUUCAAACGCAUGCAGUCAUCCUAAUGACGUACUAUUCUACCCAAUCCAGACGCGCGACGAUAAAGGCGUAGACCCUGGCGGAUGUAAAGUUUUCUGACGAACGCAACACUGGAAGGACACACUCGAAAGCAAGUUUUAUCCUCGUCACCCUGAAAGAUUCUACAUAGGAGCAACAUGUACCGGUAGUUGAGUACCAUUUCUUGCUGCGCAUCACACGGCCCUAGCCGACCCUUGCUCAAUGAUUCAACUCUAGAGUGGCCCAAUACCGGUAGUUGAGCAUCUCAUGUUGCGUAUGACUUGGCCCCAUCUCGACAGCUCCCUACUGCGCCUUCACGCCGAACCUAGGUGACGCAACAGAGUGGCCCAACGAUGCCUCAGAAGUAGCCGAGCACACUCUAGCUGCGCCUACUCCACCCGAUGGAGACUUCUGGCAUUUGCAUGUCGACGGCGCAGAAAAGCCUUCAUCAUUGCCGGCAGAGAAGGCUCCAAAAAGAUGGAUCCCAUCUGGGAAGGUCCGUACAAGAUCAGCAGAGUAGGGGGCAAGAGCAAUUACACCCUCACCACCAUGAAGCGGCAAAAAGAUUGAAAAGAAAUGGAUGGCCUACAAUCUGAAGAAGUACCAUGUGUGACCUCCCGCUACAUCAAAACCCGAAGACUCAAUAAGCUUGACGGGCACCACCUCACAAGCUGAGGACUAUCCAGUUGUUAUGCAGUUCCUACCUUACAGCUAAAGUUCUCGUUCGUUUCACUCGUUUUUCAAUGAGGAAUUUAGAAGUAAUCACAACUUGGCUUGGCUGCAUGCUUACAACAACUAAUCACUUCUGCACUUCAAAAGAAGACUGCGCCCUUCUUAGGGACUCAUCGCAGGAAUUGCGCCCCCCGAGGGACCAACCAUGCUCUCCAGUGCGAGAGGGUAAACCAAUUCUCCGACACCCAUAUGGGUCAGCUCUCCAAGACGGAAGGAUAAACUUUACACUCCAAAUAUCCAGACGUGGAUGAGCCUGGCUGCCCUAGUAUAACUAGAUGCACGAUGGCUUGCGCCGGGAUUCCUAGAAGUAGCCGCAAUGGUCUUUUUCAAGGCUUAGCUAAUUGAAGGAUUUUGGGUCUCUUGGCCUAAUCCGUGGGGAACCGGGCCCUAGAGACGGAGAGGGCACAUUACGCAGUACAUCCGAUGGACGGCUGCCCUGGAAUCCUAAAGCUGCUACCGAGUGCACUAAGGUAGCCUACGGAUUCCGGAAGACUGCCUACGGCUUGCCCUUCGAGCAGUGAAGCCGCACUAGACUUAUACAACCGCACAUUCUUGUGAAAGGUUAAACAAGCUAGCGCGCAUAUACGAAGUUUUAUCCACUGCCGACAUGCUACGUAGUCGAUAAGCUUCACCUCUGCCAAGCGCAGAACAACCUACACCAAGUCCUAAAGUGUUGUGAUACUUGCUACGCAACCUACGGAAUUGAAGAAAGUCAAGGUUAACAGCCUAGUGGUUACGCGGACUUGUCUGCUUCUGUAAGUAAGGCAUCCGGCUGCCAACCCUAUGGCUAACAACUUUGCAAAGUUCUACACCAACACCUACGGCUGCAUAGGCUACGCGAGUUUGUCUGCUUAUAAAAAAGUAGCAUGCCUGCCACUGGUCUAUCAAGUCUAAAGGUUAGGGCAUGAACAAAAGAAGUGAAGAUGAAGAAAAACGAAGGAAAACAUGUUUAUAAACAACUAGCAAAGGCCGAAUGAGUUCAAGUAAAACAAGAGCUACAAGGAAAAACAAAGAAAAUCCUAAAGGCUACCUAAAAUACUACACUACAGCAGCUUGGACAUCCCACGACUACUCGGUCGCCACACCUUCAACAGCCGUAACGCUCUUAGCAGCGGCAUCAUCCGGCGCUUCACCCCCGGCUGCCCUAGUCUGGGCACUAACUUCUCCAACUACUUCACCAAUGGAAGCCUUAAAAGUAAAAGCAAACAAGUCUUCCGGAGAAAUAGAGAAGGUCUUAAAACCUCAAGCCCAUCCUUCUCACCCUUCAGCUGCUUAUUCUUCUUAAGCAGACUAACAUGGACGCGCUACAGCUCAUCCACUCUCUUCUUAGCAUAAGUAGCGAAACGAAGCUCAGAAAUUGCAAGCUUAAGAUCUUGAAUCUGAGGCGAAUCAAUCUCAGCAGCAAAGGGAGCAGGCUUUGGCGCCACUUUAGCAGCAGAGUCCACCUUACCACUCUUCAUAAUAGCAAGUCUCUACAAAGGUGAACCGGACUUGGCUCCCAAAGAACGUCCUGGUACAGACUUCGGCACUGGGGGCAUGAUAAAACCUUUACGCUGAGUAAUCUUAUCCACAAUUGUACUAGCCAUUCUCAACAUGGAAGACGCCACAUGCUCAGAUCUAGCAGCCUUACAUUUCUUCCCAUUGGAAGAAGUCAUGUCAAUCACAUACCUCUCGGUAGCAAGCGGACCCUCAUGAGCAGCAGAAGAAGUCUUCAGUUUUUUCUUAACUGGCAUCUCAUGAGCAGGCAGGGAAGAUCUCUUCUUUCCAUCUUCAUUCAUAGUAAGCUCCACGACAGCGAUCAGACGAGCCAAUGCAUCCGCCUUGAUCCUCUUUACCUCCUCUUUCCGGAGCAGCCCACAUUUCUUUCAGCAAAGAUGACUAAGCAGCCAACGACAUUCAUGGUACUCAGCAGGGGAGCUUAACCCAGUAUUCCAGCAGGCAGGAGGCCUGCAUGCCCAACAUUCCAGCAGCCCGUGAGACCCGCAAUCUCCUUAUUUCUCUCAAUCGCCAGCCUGGCCCGAGUCAGGUCCAAAAGCCCAAAGGACAUGAGCCAUGCGGCUCGCCUAGCACUACGCCCCAGCGCCACAAUCCGCGACCCUAGUUGCACAAGCUGCCUUUUGGCUCAAGCCAAGCCAAGCUGCCCAAGCAGUAGUCCCUGCCACGACAUCUCCUCGGCCCAUGCCGAGCCAACUCCUGGCCCCUGCCAGCCGAUGUGCCGCACCACCUCGACGGCUGCCCCGCAAUAGCACUAUCCAAGAAUAAGGCAAGAAAAAUUAAAUUUUUCUUACAUCGGUGCGGCACAAAGAAGACGAAGAAAGCAACGAAAGACGGUCCUUUGCACGGGCAAGAUGUAGAAGAUUGCUAGAGAAGGGGGAACAAAUAUCCUCUAAGCUAUCUCUCUCUUGUAGGGGUAGAAUAAAUCACUCUCCAAAGUUGAUUUUAAUAACCCACUUAAGAUGGACUUAAAAUAGGUUUUGAGAGAAAUUUAUUUCCCUUUCCUAGAAGGAUCUAAUUUCCUAUUAAAGAGAGAAUCAACAUCAAAAUAGGAAGCAGUCUUAAGUUUCCUAAAGCAAGAAGAUCUCUACACCUGCUGCUCUUUUCUGCGAGCAACCCAACAGGUGUGGGGGCAUUUGUGGAGCCAAAAAUGUUCACUAGGCGACACGUGGACUUUUGGACAAAAGAGGACAAAAAUACCCUCGAGGCAUACCGGGAUUCCUACGCGCAAGCAGUAGGAAAUUAUCUUUCAACCAAGUUAAAAGUGCUCAAAAUAGGUAACGAUUUAAAGCCUAUUUCAUCAAAUCCUUUCUAUAAGGUAAUUCCCAAAACUUAAUUUAUUUUAUAUGUUUUAUAUUCCAUUAUUUAGCUAAUCAAUUAGCUAAAUAAUAUAAUCCUUUCAUGUUUCCUAAAAAAUUGAUUAAUUAAGGGAUUAAUUACCCAAUCAAUCCCUUAAUUAUCAAUUUGAAACAUCCACUCAAACCUAAAAAAAUACUAUAGGGCCGGCUAUCCCAUUCAAAACCUAAUCCAUUACCUUUUUUCUACUUUUUCCCAUCAUUUCUUCCCUUUUAUUAGCCAAUCAAUACCAUAAAUACUAAAAUAUUUCCUUUCAUAUUUAAUUAGCCAAUUAAUUGGCUAAUUAAACCUAAAAUUCCCACCUAGUAGCCGGCCACAUUUCCUCCCUUUUGCUCCUUACCUUUUUGACUUUCUCCAUCUUAUUACCCAAAUAAAGCUAAUCAUUCAAUUUGAUAACCCCCCAUUUAUUUCUAUCAUAUUUUAUUAGCCAAUAAAGUGGCUAAUUAAACCACAAAUUCACUAAAAACAUGGACAAAGUGGCCGGCCAUUUCUUUGGAAAAAUGGACCAACUUAGUCUUAUAAAUAUUCACCCAUUUCUACCAAACACUAAUUCCAACACUUUGGCAAAAAUCCCAAAAUUCUCUAAACACUCUUUCUCUCUAAAUUCUAACUUUGGCAUCGGAGGUUCUUCGGCCAAAGCCCCCCCCCCAUUCAUCGUGGGCGCGUGAGGCUCUUGGCCUUAACCUAAGGUGUUAAUUGUUUUGUAGGGGCAAAAUUGUCCAAGAUCAAGGAGGAAGAAAUUUGCAUCCACACUAGCCAAAGUUGAAAAAAAAACAUUACUACAAAUUGAAACAGCCAAAACAACAUGGGUUUGUCGGAAUUAUUGCACAUUGUCACUGGUAUGAACCUCUUCGAGACGAUGAAAGGGACCUGCAUGCUGUUGAUAGAGUCUUAGCUUUCAAUGCGGCCCGGUAAGUGAUUCUUUUUUCGUUUACCAAUUUGCUUAAUUAUCUGAUGCAAGAAAAUGUACGAUAUAGUCAGUAUCCAAUUCUAAUUUAUGUGCAAGGACUUUCGCCACAUUAACAUCUGCUGAAUCCCCCAAUUGGUCAGCUUCUUAUUUUUGCUCGCAUAUAUAACCGGAAAUCUUUCGGCGGUUGACAAUUUGACUUUUUUCUGUUAAUAUAUUGCAUAUUAACCAUAGUAUAAUAGUAAUGUGUAAUAAUUAAGAGUAUAAAAAUAGCAUAAAUAUACUAGAAUGGAUGACUAAAUUCUUCCCAAAAGGGUGUUGGAUUCUUUAGUGUAUGGAGANUUGAACACAUAAAACUGUCACGUUUGCUGAUAAUGUCUCUAAUAGAGCUGGAUUUCACCAUUAUACGUGACACCCACGUAUUAGAUGAAGGAAGAAGGAAGUUUAGGUUCCACCAUAAACCAAUUGGCAAUAUGAGGACUAUACCAACUUACUUAUAAAAAACUCAUGCAAUGUCUCUCAUUUCAUCAAUGUGAAAAAUCAUUUUCAACAUUAGAAAAUGUUCAACAAGUGCGUGAUUUUUGUCUGUCUAAAUAGUAGUAUUACGUACUGUUAUUAACAUGCAUGGCGUAUUAACAUGUCUGUCUUAAUAGUAUUACAUACUCUUAUUAACAUGCAUGGCCUCUUGCAUAAUUAACCCCAUGUGUUAACCAGAAGUUACCAUAUAUAGAUAGAACAUAAGACAAUCUUUGAAUCAAAUGGAGGAGGAAACCAUUCGCUGAGUUGGUCACAGACUAGAAAUAUGCCCCUUACCAGCAGGGUAAGUACAUAUAUAUACAUAUAUAUAUAUACACACACACACACACACACACACAAACUCUCUUAACCAAAAUCAGCAAUCAGAGAAAAAACCCCUGGUUAAUUUCUCAGAAUCUUCUUCAAAGGCAAUAGCCUUGAAAACAACCUCCACAAGUCAAAAAAUUGACCAAAUGUUAUUAGAAUUAAAACAAGAAAAGACAGUCCAUGUCCUAAAUCACCCUGAUGAAUCCCAAUCUGAAAUAUCCCCAAUAUCCUCUGGGUCAGAAGAUGAUUCAGAUUCUAUCCGAAAAGUUGAACAAGUUUUUCAAAAUCUUGAACUUAAAAGAAUCACAAAUAGAAGAAUCAAUCCAACAUCUCUCACUAAAAAUUGGUAUCCCAGACCAACACCUCCAGAUAUUCAAUUUGAAGAAAAAAAUAUCCAAAACCAAUUCUCAGUCUCUUCUGAUAAACUCUAUGAAUGGAAUAUAGAUGGUUUGUCACUCAGAAUAUAUAUAUAUAUAUAUAUAUACUUUUCGAGAGAAUAUUAGGUAUAUAUAACAUUUUUACCGCUUGGUGUUUUGUGUUCUACGUGUUAUGUAUAUGUAAUAUUAUUGUACAACGAGUAUUUAAUUUAGGUUACACGUAGUAUAAUAUAAGAGAAAUUGAUAACAAUGAGUUUUUUAUUUAGGUUACGCAUAGUAUAAUAUAAGAGAAUUGAUAACACCACAUGACAAUACUAUGGUCACACCAAGAAAAUCAUCAUUAUUAUGCUAUAGCUGAUGUAGUACCACACAAACCAAUAAUAAUUGAUCAUAGGUCGCAGGUCAUCGUUUGUGCGUUCCAUAUUUGUCACUGAUUUUCACUUGAUACAUUUUUACAUUAUUGAUUAAACAUAAAACAUUAGUAUACAACCGUAGUUCCUAUAAGACUUUCUAAAAUAAAUUCUUCUUCUAUAAAGUAUCAAAGUGACUGAGAAACUAAACUGGAAGUUCUAUAGCAGGCUAUGAAGGAGAGCUUGAGGAUGGCAAGCAUCAUCUCUUUUACCUGUAGGGAAGCUGUCGAAGCUGUCGAAGAUGUUGAAUACAAAGGUAGGCAUAAUGAUCAUCCGUUUAAUUCUUUUACCAAAGGAAAACUACAAGCAAUAUAAAUACCGCUCUAUUGUAUCUAAAUCUCUCAUCAUCAUCAAAGAUGUAGCAAUAUAGAGGGGCGGUAUCACCACUACGAGUAAGUUCUUCUCGGAGCCGUGGCAAAGGACAAUAGAAGGGCUAGCUUUACUGUUGGAGAUUGAUAGCACAAACAUAAAUGACAUCGCCUGGAAAGGGAGAGAUCCAACUCAAUUAUAAAGGAAAAGUACAUAAUUAACAAGGCUUUCCCUUUGUAGAGAACUGGUAGUGUAUACUGUGACCCAUAAUUCACAGAACCCCACUCUAAUAAAAGGCCACGCAAACUCAGUCCUUUUCAAAUCCUAGCUAUGAAAAUGUUAGUUCCGAAGGGAAACUUAAGUGAACAAGUUCACCUUGCAGGAAAAAAGAAUGAAAAUUAAGAAAUAAAAGCUAGCUAUAUAUAUAAAAAUGUUAAUUUAACUGAGUCGCCUUUGACAUGUCCAACAGUAUACUUGAUCCCAAAGGGAUGGAAAGUACUGCCUUUGUUUCGGAACAUUCAUCAUAAUCCAGAAUAUUUUGCUGAUCCGCACAAAUUCGAUCCAUCAAGAUUUGAGGCAAUAUAUGGAAGGGUUCACAUAACCCUAAUUGCAAUUUAUCUUUAUUAAUAUACUUCCAGUUCUUCAUUGUUUAAACAUGUAAAUUUUGAAAUUCAAAUGAGCAUCUAAUUAAUUAAUUGGGUUUGAUUUAUUGCAUCACAGCUUGGAGUAAAGCCCAACACGUUCAUGCCAUUUGGAAAUGGAAUUCAUACCUGUCCAGGAAAUGAAGUUGCCAAGCUAGAAGUGCUUAUUUUUAUCCACCAUCUUGUUAACAAGUUCAGGUACGACCGUACGUAUAUUUUUCUCUUCAGUCGGGUUCAAUCCCCACUGAUCCUCCUCCUAACUUUCAUCCUAACAACUAACAAUUUAAGUUAUUUAACUCAAUAACGUUAUCAUUUAAAAAAAAAAACUCAAAUCUUGAAAUUGAUAGGGUUUAAUCUGCUACAGGUGGGAAGUGGUAAGGUCCAGUAGGGGGGUUCAUUACGCCCCAAUUCCAAUACCUCAGCAAGGACUUCCAGCCAAGUUUUGGAAAGAUUCAAUCCGGUUAAGGACCACAAGGCCAGGCUAGCAGGGAGGAAAUGAAAAGCUGAUGUUGUUUAUAAAAGACAUUAAAAUGUAGUUUCUCUCGAGAAGUUAGAUUUUGAUUUUGACUCCUUAUUAUCCAAACUUAGAGAGAUCUUCCAAUAUUAGAUAUAAAUACCACUUAUUAGACUAAGACGUAUUUAGUAGCUUUUUGUUAUUUGAAAACAUAUUUUGGCUUGGCAUUCGGCAUCAAUAUUGAGAUUCCCUUUCUUUUCUCCUUUGAACAAUAGAAAUUCUACUUUUUAGAUUAAAUACCUAGGACCCUCAACCUUUUAGUGUCAUAAUUGGUCUCAACUUUUUUAGACAUUCCAUAUAAGUGCUUAAUUUAUUGAAAAUGUUAUAUCCGUUAAGCUCCUGUUCAUCUUUUUAUAAAUGUAUAAUGUAUAUGUGGCAACAGGAAGUCACACUUUUUAACUUACAUGGACACUAAAAUAAUAAAAAUAACUUCAGAAAAUAUAUGAAGAGAAAAAUAAAAAUAAAAAUAAAAACAAAUUUACAAAUAAAAUGGAAACAAAAAAUGAAGGGUAAUAUCAAGCCUCUGCCAUGCACGUCCAAGCUCAACCUACAACCACCAAAACCCUCCAACAUUUAUAUUCCAAACUCACCAACUGGGUAUAUUAUGAUCAACAUUAAUACUAGUUGCCUCAAAAUCUAAAAUUUCAUAGAUACCACAUGGACUGCAGCCAAGACAUACUCAGCAGGGGAGCUUAACCCAGUAUUCCAGCAGGCAGGAGGCCUGCAUGCCCAACAUUCCAGCAGCCCGUGAGACCCGCAAUCUCCUUAUUUUCUCUCAAUCGCCAGCCUGGCCCGAGUCAGGUCCAAAAGCCCAAAGGACAUGAGCCAUGCGGCUCGCCUAGCACUACGCCCCAGCGCCACAAUCCGCGACCCUAGUUGCACAAGCUGCCUUUUGGCUCAAGCCAAGCCAAGCUGCCCAAGCAGUAGUCCCUGCCACGACAUCUCCUCGGCCCAUGCCGAGCCAACUCCUGGCCCCUGCCAGCCGAUGUGCCGCACCACCUCGACGGCUGCCCCGCAAUAGCACUAUCCAAGAAUAAGGCAAGAAAAAUUAAAUUUUUCUUACAUCGGUGCGGCACAAAGAAGACGAAGAAAGCAACGAAAGACGGUCCUUUGCACGGGCAAGAUGUAGAAGAUUGCUAGAGAAGGGGGAACAAAUAUCCUCUAAGCUAUCUCUCUCUUGUAGGGUAGAAUAAAUCACUCUCCAAAGUUGAUUUAAUAACCCACUUAAGAUGGACUUAAAUAGGUUUUGAGAGAAAUUUAUUUCCCUUUCCUAGAAGGAUCUAAUUUCCUAUUAAAGAGAGAAUCAACAUCAAAAUAGGAAGCAGUCUUAAGUUUCCUAAAGCAAGAAGAUCUCUACACCUGCUGCUCUUUUCUGCGAGCAACCCAACAGGUGUGGGGGCAUUUGUGGAGCCAAAAAUGUUCACUAGGCGACACGUGGACUUUUGGACAAAAGAGGACAAAAAUACCCUCGAGGCAUACCGGGAUUCCUACGCGCAAGCAGUAGGAAAUUAUCUUUCAACCAAGUUAAAAGUGCUCAAAAUAGGUAACGAUUUAAAGCCUAUUUCAUCAAAUCCUUUCUAUAAGGUAAUUCCCAAAACUUAAUUUAUUUUAUAUGUUUUAUAUUCCAUUAUUUAGCUAAUCAAUUAGCUAAAUAAUAUAAUCCUUUCAUGUUUCCUAAAAAAUUGAUUAAUUAAGGGAUUAAUUACCCAAUCAAUCCCUUAAUUAUCAAUUUGAAACAUCCACUCAAACCUAAAAAAUACUAUAUAGGGCCGGCUAUCCCAUUCAAAACCUAAUCCAUUACCUUUUUUCUACUUUUUCCCAUCAUUUCUUCCCUUUUAUUAGCCAAUCAAUACCAUAAAUACUAAAAUAUUUCCUUUCAUAUUUAAUUAGCCAAUUAAUUGGCUAAUUAAACCUAAAAUUCCCACCUAGUAGCCGGCCACAUUUCCUCCCUUUUGCUCCUUACCUUUUUGACUUUCUCCAUCUUAUUACCCAAAUAAAGCUAAUCAUUCAAUUUGAUAACCCCCCAUUUAUUUUCUAUCAUAUUUUAUUAGCCAAUAAAGUGGCUAAUUAAACCACAAAUUCACUAAAAACAUGGACAAAGUGGCCGGCCAUUUCUUUGGAAAAAUGGACCAACUUAGUCUUAUAAAUAUUCACCCAUUUCUACCAAACACUAAUUCCAACACUUUGGCAAAAAUCCCAAAAUUCUCUAAACACUCUUUCUCUCUAAAUUCUAACUUUGGCAUCGGAGGUUCUUCGGCCAAAGCCCCCCCCCCAUUCAUCGUGGGCGCGUGAGGCUCUUGGCCUUAACCUAAGGUGUUAAUUGUUUUGUAGGGGCAAAAAUUGUCCAAGAUCAAGGAGGAAGAAAUUUGCAUCCACACUAGCCAAAGUUGAAAAAAAAACAUUACUACAAAUUGAAACAGCCAAAACAACAUGGGUUUGUCGGAAUUAUUGCACAUUGUCACUGGUAUGAACCUCUUCGAGACGAUGAAAGGGACCUGCAUGCUGUUGAUAGAGUCUUAGCUUUCAAUGCGGCCCGGUAAGUGAUUCUUUUUUCGUUUACCAAUUUGCUUAAUUAUCUGAUGCAAGAAAAUGUACGAUAUAGUCAGUAUCCAAUUCUAAUUUAUGUGCAAGGACUUUCGCCACAUUAACAUCUGCUGAAUCCCCAAUUGGUCAGCUUCUUAUUUUUGCUCGCAUAUAUAACCGGAAAUCUUUCGGCGGUUGACAAUUUGACUUUUUCUGUUAAUAUAUUGCAUAUUAACCAUAGUAUAAUAGUAAUGUGUAAUAAUUAAGAGUAUAAAAAUAGCAUAAAUAUACUAGAAUGGAUGACUAAAUU
rnacentral:lncRNA from 1 species